rnacentral:rRNA from 1 species
CGAGUAACCUGCCCUUAACUCUGGGAUAAGCCUGGGAAACUGGGUCUAAUACCGGAUAUGAUUCCUCAUCGCAUGGUGGGGGGUGGAAAGCUUUUUGUGGUUUUGGAUGGACUCGCGGCCUAUCAGCUUGUUGGUGAGGUAACGGCUCACCAAGGCUUCGGACGGGUAGCCGGCCUGAGAGGGUGACCCGGCCACACUGGGACUGAGACACGGCCCAGACCUCCGUACGGGGAGGCAG